rnacentral:tRNA from 1 species
UGGGGUGUAGCCAAGCGGUAAGGCAUCAGAUUUUGAUUCUGACACGCGGUGGUUCGAAUCCACCCUCCCCAGCCA